AUUGAACGCUAGCGGGAUGCUUUACACAUGCAAGUCGAACGAGUGGCGGACGGGUGUGUAAUAUAUCUGACCGUGCCCAGUAGCGGGGGAUAACUACUCGAAAGCGUUGCUAAUACCGCAUACUAUUGGAGCGGCCGAUCUCGGAUUAGCUAGUUGGUGGGGUAAAGGCUCACCAAGGCAACGAUCCGUAGCUGGUUUGAGAGGACGACAGUGCAAACUGGGACUGAGACACGGCCCAGACUCCUACGGGAGGCAGCAGUGGGGAAUUUUGGACAAUGGGGGAAACCCUGAUCCAGCCAUCCCGCGUGUAUGAGAAGGCCUUCGGGUUGUAAAGUACUUUCAGUCGGGCGGCGUUACCGACAGAAGAAGCACCGGCUAACUCCGUGCCAGCAGCCGCGGUAAUAC
rnacentral:rRNA from 1 species